CGCGCGCCUGAGCGCGGCUUUCGGGGCUGCGGCGGGAGGGGGCGGGAGAGGCGCGGCCGUUGGGCGCCCCCGGGCGCGUGCAUGAGGCGCAAUGGCGGGAGCGGGCGGGCGGUCCGUGAGGGGAAGGGGGUCGAGCACCAUCCCAUUCGAGCUGAGGCGCCGCUUCCGAGGGAGAUGGGGCACCCUCUGUGUGGGGGCCGUGUGGCAAUGGCGGGCAUUACCCCACAGGUCCCUCCCUCUCUCUGGGAGGGAGGGGAGUGCAGCAGAUUAUCUCAGCUGUAGAGUGGGCCCUGUGAGCGGCAGGAGCACCAGCCCUCGGUGGGUGUUUGCCGUCCCUUACCCCAGCAGCCCUAUGCUCUCCACCAGAGCCUGUGCAGAGUGCGAGUGAGGAACACCAGGAGCCUGCAUUUUGUGAUCUGCAGCAGCCAUCCCCAGUGCCGGAGAGCAAUCCCCAGCGUCCAGACCCGGGUGACCACUCCCAGGAAAGACUUUCUGGAUUUGUUCAUCUCUUCAGAGUGGUGAAAGAGUUUUGUUGUCAUCUGGUGUUGUUAAUUGUUUUGGUGCUGGGGAGUGCUUUGUUCGUGAAAUAAACAGGUUCUUUUCC